GCGUGCGUAAUCUCAACUGGAUAGAGCCCCCGCCAACGGGCGGAAGGAUGCAGGUUCGAAUCCUGCCGUGCGCUCCA
rnacentral:tRNA from 1 species